UACGUAGGCAGCGAGCGUUGUUCGGAGUUACUGGGCGUAAAGCGUGCGUAGGCGGUGUCUUAAGUUUGUUGUGAAAUCUCCCCGGCUUAACCGGGGAGGGUGCGGCGAAUACUGAGAUGCUGGAGUGCCGGAGAGGUAAGCGGAAUUCCUGGUGUAGCGGUGAAAUGCGUAGAUAUCCGGAGGAACACCGGUGGCGAAGGCGGCUUCCUGGACCGACACUGACGCUGAGGCGCGAAAGCUAGGGGGGCAAAGCGGG
rnacentral:rRNA from 1 species